CGGUUCGCCAUGACAGUUUUCGGCAACUACUACGGUAUGUAAGGCUACACGAAAGCUUGAAAGCCGGCUUGUUGCAUUUCAAGAUGGCCGCUGAAGAGGAGAUGAUUUCGUCAGAUGUGCAUCUUUUUACACCAUUUUUCCAAAUAGAGGAAAACAGCAAAGCAUUUACCAGGUUUACAAUAUACAAGUCCCCAGAGAAUACCUGUGCCAAUAAGAUGGAAGGGAGAAGUGAUUCCAUGGGUUGUUGUGAAACUGAUGAAGAUGGAGAUUUGUCACCUCCAAGAAAGUUCUCUGCAAGAGAUGACUGUGAAGUCAUUACAAUAGAACAUUCUCUUUCCACUGGGAUUAAAGAUGUAGGGCUACAGGUUUGGAGAGGGGCUCUCCUGUUAAGUGAUUUCUUGAUUUACAAUGAAGAAAGAUAUGAUGGAUGUUUUGGGUUGGAGCUUGGAGCAGGGCUUGGUUUAUGUAGCAUCAUAUUGGGAAGAGUGGCAAAGAGAAUAUUUUGCACAGAUGUGGGAGACACCAUUCUCGGCAACUGCAAAGCAAACAUAGCAGCUAAUUCUCAUCUUUUCAGAUAUGGCAGUGAAGCUGUUACAGUUCAUGAAUUGGACUGGGAGAAAAAAGGAUUACCCACUGAGAAUGAUCCUUUCUGUUGGACAAUGGAAGAUCAGAAAAUGUUUAAAGGCAUCUCUGUUGUGUUAGCGGCAGAUGUGAUUUACGAUGAUUCCUUAACUGAUGCUUUCAUUGAAACAGUCUUACAUCUUUUUGAACAAAAGCCAGACAUAGUCCUUUAUUUGACAAUGGAGAAGCGGAACUGUGGGAAAUUAAACCAACUUAACAUGAUGUUGAAAUGGAGUCUCUAAACAGCCACCAACCAAAGGAAGGCAUCUGAGCUUUGAACUGGUACAAGCUGAUGAUACCUUGCUACCUCAUGUCAAAGUCUGGGCACUCAAUUUGUGGUGUGAGCCAUGGCAGACAAGAGGAACAGUUUGCGAUCACACCUUUGUCCAAACAAAAUGUACUCUCUUUGCAUGUGUGGAGCCAGUGUAAGAAGAUUUUCCAUCAAUAAACUCGUGUAGGAACUCUGGGGGAAUUGGGGAAUUGAAUUAAACCAUCUUAAGCUGAUGUUGACGUAAA
rnacentral:misc_RNA from 1 species